ACACUCCUACGGGAGGCAGCAGUGGGGAAUAUUGGACAAUGGGCGCAAGCCUGAUCCAGCCAUGCCGCGUGAGUGAUGAAGGCCCUAGGGUUGUAAAGCUCUUUUGUGCGGGAAGAUAAUGACGGUACCGCAAGAAUAAGCCCCGGCUAACUUCGUGCCAGCAGCCGCGGUAAUACGAAGGGGGCUAGCGUUGCUCGGAAUCACUGGGCGUAAAGGGUGCGUAGGCGGGUCUUUAAGUCAGGGGUGAAAUCCUGGAGCUCAACUCCAGAACUGCCUUUGAUACUGAAGAUCUUGAGUUCGGGAGAGGUGAGUGGAACUGCGAGUGUAGAGGUGAAAUUCGUAGAUAUUCGCAAGAACACCAGUGGCGAAGGCGGCUCACUGGCCCGAUACUGACGCUGAGGCACGAAAGCGUGGGGAGCAAACAGGAUUAGAUACCCCAGUAGUCCC
rnacentral:rRNA from 1 species